GGUGAGAUGGCCGAGUUGGUCUAAGGCGUGAGACUAAGGCGAGCACAAUGUGCUUAAGUAAUCUCAUCUCUUCGGGGGCGUGGGUUCAAAUCCCACUCUCAUCA